GCAAGGUUUAAUCUUAGGCCCAACUCUAAGUCUAAAGUCUGGAUAAAUGAUAGGAAUACAUAAGGAUGCUCCAGGAGCGAAAUUAAGGUGACAGUUGGAUGACAUGACCAUAUUUUAAGGAAUAUAAGAUGGAUGAGGAAUGGCAAGCUCUCAGUAUAAGACAGUGUGACGAUGAGUAUAUGAUGAAAUCAAAAAGAUCCAAAAGUUCAGUCUUGAAUACGGAACAUCUUGUACAAGACUGCCAGUGGUGAUCAAAACAAGCAGAGGCAAAGCACGGCGGUCUCAUCAACACAAUUCAGCUGCGCAAACAACAAAAUGGAUAUUUCAGUGACAAUUGGAGGCUUUUGGAGACCAUUAGAUGAAGUCAUGCCACAUGUAAGAUCAAACAGUCCAGACUCUAUCACAAAUUGUACAUGGUAGCAUUGAAGCUGUUUCUCUGUAGGCAACAUUUCUAUCUUCACUUUAUAAGGUAAUGAUGGGAGAUUUGACCUGUGAAUCAGUUAUUUUGAACAGUUCGUUUGAAUUAUCUGCUUUGAAAAUGAUUCAACACUUCUUUCAAGUUGAUUUCAUCACAUGACAU